CAACAGAAUUUAACGGAAGCUGCCAAC
rnacentral:piRNA from 1 species